rnacentral:rRNA from 1 species
UACGUAGGGUGCGAGCGUUGUCCGGAUUUAUUGGGCGUAAAGAGCUCGUAGGCGGUCUGUUGCGUCUGCCGUGAAAACCCGAGGCUUAACCUCGGGCCUGCGGUGGAUACGGGCAGACUAGAGGUAGGUAGGGGAGAACGGAAUUCCCGGUGUAGCGGUGAAAUGCGCAGAUAUCGGGAGGAACACCGGUGGCGAAGGCGGCGUUCUGGACUGCAACUGACACUGAUGAACGAAAGCCAGGGGAGCAAACGGG